GCCGGCAUGUUGAAAUGGUAGACAAGGCGGACUCAAAAUCCGUUGCAGGAAACUGCGUGUAGGUUCAAAUCCCACUGCCGGCACCA
rnacentral:tRNA from 1 species